AGAGUUUGAUCCUGGCUCAGAUUGAACGCUGGCGGCAUGCUUUACACAUGCAAGUCGAACGGCAGCGACGGGGAGCUUGCUCCCGGGUGGCGAGUGGCGCACGGGUGAGUAAUACAUCGGAACGUGUCCUGUUGGUGGGGGAUAACUGCUACGAAAGGGUGGCUAAUACCGCAUGAGACCUGAGGGUAGAAAGCGGGGGAUCGCAAGACCUCGCGCAAUUGGAGCGGCCGAUGCCCGAUUAGCUAGUUGGUGAGGUAAAGGCUCACCAAGGCGACGAUCGGUAGCUGGUCUGAGAGGACGACCAGCCACACUGGGACUGAGACACGGCCCAGACUCCUACGGGAGGCAGCA
rnacentral:rRNA from 1 species